rnacentral:rRNA from 1 species
AGUCACUGACAUUAGAUACCCGCGUAGUCCAGGGUGUAAACGCUGCAGACUUGGUGUUGGAAGUCCUUUGGGGGCAUUCAGUGCCGGAGAGAAGUUGUUAAGUCUGCUACUUGGGGAGUACGUCCGCAAGGAUGAAACUUAAAGGAAUUGGCGGGGGGAGCACCGCAACGGGAGGAGCGUGCGGUUUAAUUGGAUUCAACACCGUAAAACUCACCAGGGAAGACUGUUACAUGAAGGCCGAGAUGAAGACUCUGCUAGAUUUUCAG